rnacentral:lncRNA from 1 species
CUGUCUCUUCUUAUGAACUAACAAUACUGGGUCUUCAAAUUCCAGCUGGCAUGGAACCUGGGGAACCCAGAUGUGGGGGCGAGGCCCUAUGAGAACUGGACUGACCCUGGAGUGCACACCUGUUGGAGAACCCCAGGCCAAGGCCUGUGACGUGUCCCUUGGAAGCUUUUUGAGCAUCCUCCACAGCAUCUGGGCCCAGAGUCAGUGCCUGGAGGGUCUCCUGCAUGGUUAGUGCAUGGAUGAAGUAAAUACAAGACUUCCAAAACGGCUGGAAGAUGACACUGAGGAGACUGGAAAAACCAUCCAUUAGGAGCCUAACAAAUCAGAAAGAUUAAAGGCAGGAGGAGCUGUUUUAACCUACAACAG